CUCUUUUCUAUACAGAACUCAGCCCUGCCUCACGGAAGCUUUUCCAGGCAGUGCGAGAUAGAGGAGCGCUUGAGAAGGCAGGUUUUGCAGCAGACGGCAGUGACAGCCCAGUUCUGCACCUUCUUUGCUGAGUCACUGUGGGCCAGUGACUUGAUCUGAGAUUGUUUCCCCAUCAGAACCAUGAGGUUAUCAUCUGUGCCUUGGGGCUGUUCAUCUAUCUAUUCACUUGACACACACACAUCCACCUUUCUAUACCAGCUGCAGCGCCACCUGCUGGUACCGUGAGCAAGAGCUGGGCAUGCCCACGGUUCCGGUGCCCUGCAGUCUGGUGGGAGAGGCAGGUAGGGGUCGACUCAGGUAGCAAACCUGAAACUCCAGGGGAAGGAAGCGUUUCUGCAACUGUGAGUACAUAGGACUGUGAGGAGAGACUUCCCGAGAAAGGAUGUUCGGGCUAGCGUUAAGGGUGAGCGUGAGUUCACCAGAGAAGGAAGGGGAGACCAGUCCAGGGCAAGGAGAAUGCACAGACACUGGCAGGAAGGUGAGCGUGGGGACACUGGGAAAGGCCUGGGACACGCAGCCAAGAGCCGCGGCUCAGACGCUAGCAGGGCCCGCUCUUGCUGCCUCUACCACCAGUUGACGAGGAGUUUGGACCUUAGGCUGGGGGACGCCAGCAAAGGCUUCUAAGCAGAUCACAUUUUUGGGUGGAAAGAUCAUUGGCUUCGGGUUUCUGUGAGGGCGAGGAUGAUUGGAAGGGAGGGUUUUGAGGAGGCUGUGAAGUGCGCUAUGGUUAAGAUGAUGCGCUUUGGGGCCAGACAUGGGUUCCAGUAACGGCUGUUGCCUAGCGAACGCUUUGUGUGAGUUAAUUAGAGAAGACGUGGCUGUCUUGUGAUGGGAGUGCGCGGGAUGAACUGCACGGGGGGACCCGGCCCUGUGAACACUAAGCCAGGGGCUGCCUUCCUGCCCUUUGCUCUUGGAGUCGGCUCAUUUCUGCUCCUCCGGGCCCUGUCCCUGCCCAGAUUCACCCUCUGUCCGUCUGCCCUGCCCCAGGAGGAGGCCUCGGUGGUACCAGAAGAGGAGGGGCUGAUGUGAACAUCCGGCAUUCAGGCCGCGAUGACACCUCCCGCUACGAUGAGAGGCCCGGCCCCUCCCCGCUUCCGCACAGGGACCGGGACCGGGACCGUGAGCGGGAGCGCAGAGAGCGGAGCCGGGAGCGAGACAAGGAGCGAGAACGGCGACGCUCCCGCUCCCGGGACCGGCGGAGGCGCUCACGGAGUCGCGACAAGGAGGAGCGGAGGCGCUCCAGGGAGCGGAGCAAGGACAAGGACCGGGACCGGAAGCGGCGAAGCAGCCGGAGUCGGGAGCGGGCCCGGCGGGAGCGGGAGCGCAAGGAGGAGCUGCGUGGCGGCGGUGGCGACAUGGCGGAGCCCUCCGAGGCGGGUGACGCGCCCCCUGAUGAUGGGCCUCCAGGGGAGCUCGGGCCUGACGGCCCUGACGGUCCAGAGGAAAAGGGCCGGGAUCGUGACCGGGAGCGACGGCGGAGCCACCGGAGCGAGCGCGAGCGGCGCCGGGACCGGGAUCGUGACCGUGACCGUGACCGCGAGCACAAACGGGGGGAGCGGGGCAGUGAGCGGGGCAGGGAUGAGGCCCGAGGUGGGGGCGGUGGCCAGGACAACGGGCUGGAGGGUCUGGGCAACGACAGCCGAGACAUGUACAUGGAGUCUGAGGGCGGCGACGGCUACCUGGCUCCGGAGAAUGGGUAUUUGAUGGAGGCUGCGCCGGAGUGAAGAGGUCGUCCUCUCCAUCUGCUGUGUUUGGACGCGUUCCUGCCCAGCCCCUUGCUGUCAUCCCCUCCCCCAACCUUGGCCACUUGAGUUUGUCCUCCAAGGGUAGGUGUCUCAUUUGUUCUGGCCCCUUGGAUUUAAAAAUAAAAUUAAUUUCCUG
rnacentral:lncRNA from 1 species